UACGUAGGGUGCAAGCGUUGUCCGGAAUUAUUGGGCGUAAAGAGCUCGUAGGCGGUCUGUCGCGUCUGCUGUGAAAAUCCAGGGCUCAACCCUGGACCUGCAGUGGGUACGGGCAGACUAGAGUGCGGUAGGGGAGAGCGGAAUUCCUGGUGUAGCGGUGAAAUGCGCAGAUAUCAGGAGGAACACCGGUGGCGAAGGCGGGUCUCUGGGCCGAUACUGACGCUGAGGAGCGACAGCGUGGGGAGCGAACAGG
rnacentral:rRNA from 1 species